rnacentral:rRNA from 2 species
UGGGGAAUAUUGCACAAUGGAGGGAACUCUGAUGCAGCGACGCCGCGUGAACGAAGAAGGCUUUCGAGUCGUAAAGUUCUUUUAUAUGGGAAGAUAAUGACGGAACCAUAAGAAAAAGCCCCGGCUAACUACGUGCCAGCAGCCGCGGUAAUACGUAGGGGGCUAGCGUUGUCCGGAAUCACUGGGCGUAAAGGGUUCGCAGGCGGAAAUGCAAGUCAGGUGUAAAAGGCAGUAGCUUAACUACUGUAAGCAUUUGAAACUGCAUAUCUUGAGAAGAGUAGAGGUAAGUGGAAUUUUUAGUGUAGCGGUGAAAUGCGUAGAUAUUAAAAAGAAUACCGGUGGCGAAGGCGACUUACUGGGCUCAUUCUGACGCUGAGGAACGAAAGCGUGGGUAGCAAACAGG